CCUACGGGUGGCAGCAGUGGGGAAUAUUGGACAAUGGGGGCAACCCUGAUCCAGCCAUGCCGCGUGUGUGAAGAAGGCCCUCGGGUUGUAAAGCACUUUCAGUGAGGAAGAACGCCUGGUGGUUAAUACCCAUCAGGAAAGACAUCACUCACAGAAGAAGCACCGGCUAACUCCGUGCCAGCAGCCGCGGUAAUACGGAGGGUGCGAGCGUUAAUCGGAAUUACUGGUCGUAAAGCGCGCGUAGGUGGCUUGAUAAGCCGGUUGUGAAAGCCCCGGGCUCAACCUGGGAACGGCAUCCGGAACUGUCAAGCUAGAGUGCAGGAGAGGAAGGUAGAAUUCCCGGUGUAGCGGUGAAAUGCGUAGAGAUCGGGAGGAAUACCAGUGGCGAAGGCGGCCUUCUGGACUGACACUGACACUGAGGUGCGAAAGCGUGGGUAGCAAACAGGAUUAGAUACCCGAGUAGUC
rnacentral:rRNA from 1 species